rnacentral:rRNA from 1 species
AGAGUUUGAUCCUGGCUCAGGAUGAACGCUAGGCGGCAGGCCUAACACAUGCAAGUCGAGCGCGAAAACACUUCGGUGUGAGUAGAGCGGCGGACGGGUGAGUAAUGCUUGGGAAUCUGCCCAGUAGUGGGGGAUAACGUGUGGAAACGCACGCUAAUACCGCAUACGUCCUACGGGAGAAAGCAGGGGAUCUUCGGACCUUGCGCUAUUGGAUGAGCCCAAGUCGGAUUAGCUUGUUGGUGGGGUAAUGGCCUACCAAGGCGACGAUCCGUAGCUGGUCUGAGAGGAUGAUCAGCCACACUGGGACUGAGACACGGCCCAGACUCCUACGGGAGGCAGCAGUGGGGAAUAUUGCACAAUGGGCGAAAGCCUGAUGCAGCCAUGCCGCGUGUGUGAAGAAGGCUCUAGGGUUGUAAAGCACUUUCAGUAGGGAGGAAAUGUUGUUGGUUAAUAGCCAGCGAUCUUGACGUUACCUACAGAAGAAGCACCGGCAAACUCCGUGCCAGCAGCCGCGGUAAUACGGAGGGUGUGAGCGUUAAUCGGAAUUACUGGGCGUAAAGCGCGCGUAGGUGGUUUGAUAAGCUAGCUGUGAAAGCCCUGGGCUCAACCUAGGAACUGCAGUUAGAACUGACUGGCUAGAGUACAGUAGAGGGUGGCGGAACUUCCUGUGUAGCGGUGAAAUGCGUAGAUAUAGGAAGGAACAUCAGUGGCGAAGGCGGCCACCUGGACUGAUACUGACACUGAGGUGCGAAAGCGUGGGGAGCAUACAGGAUUAGAUACCCUGGUAGUCCACGCCGUAAACGAUGUCUACUAGCCGUUGGGAGACUUGAUCUCUUAGUGGCGCAGUUAACGCGAUAAGUAGACCGCCUGGGGAGUACG